GGAAGUAAAAGUUGUAACAAGGUUUCCGUAGGUGAACCUGCGGAAGGAUCAUUAUUGAAUAAACCUGAUGUGGUUGUAGCUGGCCCUUUCGGGAGCAUGUGCACACCCGUCGUCUUUAUCUUUCCACCUGUGCACCUUUUGUAGACCUGGAUGUAACACUUUCCGAGGCAACUCGGUCGGGAGGAAUGUUGUCAGCUUUCCUUGAAUGUCCAGGCCUAUGUUUUCAUAUACCCCAAAGAAUGUAACAGAAUGUAUUAUUGGGCCUUGUGCCUAUAAACUAUAUACAACGUUCAGCAACGGAUCUCUUGGCUCUC
rnacentral:misc_RNA from 1 species